UUAAGCGACUAAGCGUACACGGUGGAUGCCCUGGCAGUCAGAGGCGAUGAAGGACGUGCUAAUCUGCGAAAAGCGUCGGUAAGGUGAUAUGAACCGUUAUAACCGGCGAUGUCCGAAUGGGGAAACCCAGUGCAAUUCGUUGCACUAUCGUUAACUGAAUACAUAGGUUAACGAGGCGAACCGGGGGAACUGAAACAUCUAAGUACCCCGAGGAAAAGAAAUCAACCGAGAUUCCCCCAGUAGCGGCGAGCGAACGGGGAGCAGCCCAGAGUCUGAAUCAGCUUGUGUGUUAGUGGAACGGUCUGGAAAGUCCGACGGUACAGGGUGAUAGUCCCGUACACCAAAAUGCACAGGUUGUGAACUCGAAGAGUAGGGCGGGACACGUGGUAUCCUGUCUGAAUAUGGGGGGACCAUCCUCCAAGGCUAAAUACUCCUGACUGACCGAUAGUGAACCAGUACCGUGAGGGAAAGGCGAAAAGAACCCCGGCGAGGGGAGUGAAAAAGAACCUGAAACCGUGUACGUACAAGCAGUGGGAGCACCUUCGGGUGUGACUGCGUACCUUUUGUAUAAUGGGUCAGCGACUUAUAUUCUGUAGCAAGGUUAACCGUAUAGGGGAGCCGCAGGGAAACCGAGUCUUAACUGGGCGUUAAGUUGCAGGGUAUAGACCCGAAACCCGGUGAUCUAGCCAUGGGCAGGUUGAAGGUUGGGUAACACUAACUGGAGGACCGAACCGACUAAUGUUGAAAAAUUAGCGGAUGACUUGUGGCUGGGGGUGAAAGGCCAAUCAAACCGGGAGAUAGCUGGUUCUCCCCGAAAGCUAUUUAGGUAGCGCCUCGUGAACUCAUCUUCGGGGGUAGAGCACUGUUUCGGCUAGGGGGUCAUCCCGACUUACCAACCCGAUGCAAACUACGAAUACCGAAGAAUGUUAUCACGGGAGACACACGGCGGGUGCUAACGUCCGUCGUGAAGAGGGAAACAACCCAGACCGCCAGCUAAGGUCCCAAAGUCAUGGUUAAGUGGGAAACGAUGUGGGAAGGCACAGACAGCCAGGAUGUUGGCUUAGAAGCAGCCAUCAUUUAAAGAAAGCGUAAUAGCUCACUGGUCGAGUCGGCCUGCGCGGAAGAUGUAACGGGGCUAAACCAUGCACCGAAGCUGCGGCAGCGACACUAUGUGUUGUUGGGUAGGGGAGCGUUCUGUAAGCCUGCGAAGGUGUGCUGUGAGGCAUGCUGGAGGUAUCAGAAGUGCGAAUGCUGACAUAAGUAACGAUAAAGCGGGUGAAAAGCCCGCUCGCCGGAAGACCAAGGGUUCCUGUCCAACGUUAAUCGGGGCAGGGUGAGUCGACCCCUAAGGCGAGGCCGAAAGGCGUAGUCGAUGGGAAACAGGUUAAUAUUCCUGUACUUGGUGUUACUGCGAAGGGGGGACGGAGAAGGCUAUGUUAGCCGGGCGACGGUUGUCCCGGUUUAAGCAUGUAGGCUGAUUAUCCAGGCAAAUCCGGAUAAUCAAGGCUGAGGUGUGAUGACGAGGCACUACGGUGCUGAAGUAACAAAUGCCCUGCUUCCAGGAAAAGCCUCUAAGCAUCAGGUAACAUCAAAUCGUACCCCAAACCGACACAGGUGGUCAGGUAGAGAAUACCAAGGCGCUUGAGAGAACUCGGGUGAAGGAACUAGGCAAAAUGGUGCCGUAACUUCGGGAGAAGGCACGCUGGUGUGUAGGUGAAGUCCCUGCGGAUGGAGCUGAGACCAGUCGAAGAUACCAGCUGGCUGCAACUGUUUAUUAAAAACACAGCACUGUGCAAACACGAAAGUGGACGUAUACGGUGUGACGCCUGCCCGGUGCCGGAAGGUUAAUUGAUGGGGUUAUCCGUAAGGAGAAGCUCUUGAUCGAAGCCCCGGUAAACGGCGGCCGUAACUAUAACGGUCCUAAGGUAGCGAAAUUCCUUGUCGGGUAAGUUCCGACCUGCACGAAUGGCGUAAUGAUGGCCAGGCUGUCUCCACCCGAGACUCAGUGAAAUUGAACUCGCUGUGAAGAUGCAGUGUACCCGCGGCAAGACGGAAAGACCCCGUGAACCUUUACUAUAGCUUGACACUGAACAUUGAGCCUUGAUGUGUAGGAUAGGUGGGAGGCUUUGAAGCGUGGACGCCAGUCUGCGUGGAGCCAACCUUGAAAUACCACCCUUUAAUGUUUGAUGUUCUAACGUUGGCCCCUGACCGGGGUUGCGGACAGUGUCUGGUGGGUAGUUUGACUGGGGCGGUCUCCUCCCAAAGCGUAACGGAGGAGCACGAAGGUUAGCUAAUCCUGGUCGGACAUCAGGAGGUUAGUGCAAUGGCAUAAGCUAGCUUGACUGCGAGCGUGACGGCGCGAGCAGGUGCGAAAGCAGGUCAUAGUGAUCCGGUGGUUCUGAAUGGAAGGGCCAUCGCUCAACGGAUAAAAGGUACUCCGGGGAUAACAGGCUGAUACCGCCCAAGAGUUCAUAUCGACGGCGGUGUUUGGCACCUCGAUGUCGGCUCAUCACAUCCUGGGGCUGAAGUAGGUCCCAAGGGUAUGGCUGUUCGCCAUUUAAAGUGGUACGCGAGCUGGGUUUAGAACGUCGUGAGACAGUUCGGUCCCUAUCUGCCGUGGGCGCUGGAGAAUUGAGGGGGGCUGCUCCUAGUACGAGAGGACCGGAGUGGACGCAUCACUGGUGUUCGGGUUGUCAUGCCAAUGGCACUGCCCGGUAGCUAAAUGCGGAAGAGAUAAGUGCUGAAAGCAUCUAAGCACGAAACUUGCCCCGAGAUGAGUUCUCCCUGAGACUUUAAGUCUCCUGAAGGAACGUUGAAGACGACGACGUUGAUAGGCCGGGUGUGUAAGCGCAGCGAUGCGUUGAGCUAACCGGUACUAAUGAACCGUGAGGCUUAACCUU
rnacentral:rRNA from 1 species